UCGCGUGCUAGACAGGGUGGCUCGCCCUCACCUGUUACCAUAAACGGGCGUUACGAUGGUGUUGAAGUCGGAGAGGCGCUGCGUUGCGUACCGGUGAAGCCUAUAUACUAAGCGACGAAGUUCCGCCCCAACCGAUUGCAGUGUAUGUGAACGGGUCAGACCCUGACGGGAGCAGCCAUAAUCAUGCAGUGUGAUGCUUUUGGGAUUCCGGAAUGGAGCAAGGUGUAUAGUCUCUUCUCUGUAUGCGCGCAGCCACUCUCCGACGCGCACGCUU
rnacentral:SRP_RNA from 1 species